UAGUAUGUUUUAAGGGAAAUAUGGAUUUGUGUGGAAUCUCUCCAAACUGUAUAUAUUGACAGUGAAAUCACUAUAGAAAUUUAGAGGCCGAUGUAAGGAAAAGAACAGAUGUGCAGAUACUGAAUUAACAGUUUUUUUCUGUUUUUCCUAAUUUUGUCCUUUUUUUAUAGCUUUCAAAGUAUCAUUCCUGUCUCCAGGAUGACCCAAAGGUGCACUUCUGUCUCCAGAGGACCCACAUUUCAUAGACGAAGACGUCAGGAGUGAGAAAAAAUCUGUUGAAGUUCAAAGAGUCAGUUGAAUUUUGCGAAAAUUAAGGUGCUGUGGAAGCCGGGCUUGUGUUGCCUGUCGUGGAGCAGUGCAGCUGCUGUCUUACAGAAGCACCCCCCCCUUACCACCACCACCACCGCCGCCGGCCCUCCCCAGCUCCUGCGUCCACGGCAACCCCCGCGGUGACGGAUCGUCCUGCCCGAGUGCUCCCAGCAGCCCCUGUCACAUCGCAUUUGCAUAAGAGACGAUGGAUAACCAAAUCAGACCGUGGCAAUGAAGUCGUUCUGCGCACCAACCUGUCACAGUUGUUGCUCAGCUAAUUGUGAAAAAUUUGAUUUGCGCCUCUUUCACAGUUUAUUACGGGGGUUCUGCUGCAACCCCCCCCCCAACCCUCGGCCCCCUGAAUUUGCCUUCACCAUUCUUGCCCUGCGUGUGGCUUUUAAGCUCAAAGUACCUCAGCCCUCUCCCUUGGGUUUACUUACUGCAGCCCACCAGCUGUUAAUGCACAGUCAUCUGCGUGCUCCGUUAUGCCCACUUCGCCUCUGAAUGCACAAUUAAGAAAACGGAGGAACACAAUGCAAUUUGCUCCUUUGUUUAAACAUGCAGGACGUCCCCAAAGCUUGGUCUCUCCCCCGAUUUGUCAUCGGAGCUCUCAUGGAAUACCGGGGUAAUGGGUUCAAGGUGGCGGAUGCUGGUGUCUGAAAUGUGAGAAUUAUUGUGGAAAGACAGUAUGGCUGCUUAGACAGAAAUUUUGAGAAUGGGUUUCAAAAUUGUUUUUCUUUAACCGGUUAUAUGUGUAUGCUGAUGCACCUGAGCUUGCUGGCAUAGCUGAAUGCGGUGGUGUACCUAAGCUUGCUGGCGUGGCUGAAUGCGCUAGUGUACCUGAAAGUGCUGGUGUACCUUAGCUUGCUGGCCGAGCUCGAUGCACUGGCGUACCUGAAUGUGCUGGACUGUUUUCCCCUUUCAGGAAAUGGAUGUCCUGGUAUCAAGGAGAAAUCAAAACCUCACCUCGACUUUCUGCUCAGAUUGUCAGGCAAAGUUUCUGCUGCGUGAUUUGAAUUUGGAAUAAUUAGAACAAUGGACUUGACAGGAUGCACUGAAAAUUGAUCAAAUUCUGAAUCAACGAUGACACACUGUCAAUGUCAAAUUGUCUAUAUAUGUGUGUGUAUGUAUGAUUUUUAUAUAUAAAGCAAAUGUCUAGAUUUUAAAAUGGCCAUGCCUGGAAAGGAACUUGUAAAAGAAUCACACAAUCACUGCAAACCCCUGUUAAGACUUAAAUAAAACUGUAUACAGCUCUAUUUAUCUUGAAGACUGCCUGAAUAAGGAAACCUCAGAGGUUUUACUUAUGAAGAGAGACUGGAUUAAUAAAUAAAAAUUUGAAAUUGAAUCAGGAAUUGAAACCUGAUUUCACUCAAUAGACCUAAUGAACAGCAUUAAAGAAGAGCAUUUAACUGUUCAGUUCAGCUCAUAUCUGCCUAUGGAGUGAAAACAUUAAGGCAAAUACUACCUUCUGAGCAUACCUGUUCAGUUUCAUUUUUACAUAUUUGAAUAGCUGUGAUGGCCUGUAUGCGGAGCAUCCCUUAAAAUGGAUUGAUGUUUGUUUUAUUCGUCCCUUCUCCUCCUUCGAUGAGCAAAAGUUCAGACUCUUUAAUGGGAGGGAUUUAUUUUGAGUAGUUAAUCCCUCCCUGAAGACAGCAAUGAGGUUAGUUAGCCUCCAGCAGAAUCUGGAAGGUAAAGGGAAGGGGUCUCCGCACAGUGUGAACUAGGACUGCAUGGGCUAAUAAGUUUAUAUUUCCUGCCUCAUUUGUUAAAAUCCCCCGAAUUCCUAAUUUGUGUCACCAAGACAAAUGGAUGUGAGAUAUUGUAAUGUGUGAAAUUAAUACUGAUGGAUGGCUCAUUUUCGCCCACCUUUUAAAUUGUUUGAUUCUGUAUGUUGUAUAACAUGAAAGAUGCACAG